rnacentral:piRNA from 1 species
UGAUUCCUACAGGAAUUGUGUUCUAAAAGC